CAUCCCGGCCAGUUGCCGAUUAGAGUUUGAUCCUGGCUCAGAGUCUGAAGUCGAAACAAGGUAGCCGGAAGUCGUAACAAGGUAGCCGAAGUCGUAACAAGGUAGCCGGAAGUCGUAACAAGGUAACCAAUCUCUA
rnacentral:rRNA from 1 species